GAUGAACGCUGGCGGCGUGCCUAAUACAUGCAAGUCGAGCGAACAGACGAGGAGCUUGCUCCUCUGACGUUAGCGGCGGACGGGUGAGUAACACGUGGAUAACCUACCUAUAAGACUGGGAUAACUUCGGGAAACCGGAGCUAAUACCGGAUAAUAUAUUGAACCGCAUGGUUCAAUAGUGAAAGACGGUUUUGCUGUCACUUAUAGAUGGAUCCGCGCCGCAUUAGCUAGUUGGUAAGGUAACGGCUUACCAAGGCAACGAUGCGUAGCCGACCUGCGAGGGUGAUCGGCCACACGGGAACUGAGACACGGUCCAGACUCCUACGGGAGGCAGCAGUAGGGAAUCUUCCGCAAUGGGCGAAAGCUUGACGGAGCAACGCCGCGUGAGUGAUGAAGGUCUUCGGAUCGUAAAACUCUGUUAUUAGGGAAGAACAAAUGUGUAAGUAACUAUGCACGUCUUGACGGUACCUAAUCAGAAAGCCACGGCUAACUACGUG
rnacentral:rRNA from 1 species